UACGAAGGGGGCUAGCGUUGCUCGGAAUCACUGGGCGUAAAGCGCACGUAGGCGGUUUGUUAAGUCAGGGGUGAAAUCCUGGAGCUCAACUCCAGAACUGCCUUUGAUACUGGCGAUCUUGAGUCCGGGAGAGGUGAGUGGAACUGCGAGUGUAGAGGUGAAAUUCGUAGAUAUUCGGAAGAACACCAGUGGCGAAGGCGGCUCACUGGACCGGUAUUGACGCUGAGGUGCGAAAGCGUGGGGAGCAAACAGG
rnacentral:rRNA from 1 species